UUCAUAAUAAUUUGGAUUCCGGACCCAAGAGAAGUGUGCAGGCUUGACUCGGAAUAAAAGGGGUCUUUCUGAAGACAUGUGUCCGACGCGAUUUCUUCUCGUUCUCACUCUCAAUCUCACUCUCUCUCUCUCUCUCUCUCUCUCUCUCUCUCUGUCUGUUGGCGAGCGCGUGAUUCUCAGUCGCCUGAGCCAUCCAUUGCGGCGAACCCCGCCGUUUCCGGCAUUUUCCGACAACGAUCGGCUCUGUCCCUCAGUUAUUUUACAAACAAUAAUAUACAAUGGCAUCGUCCUGGGAAAAGAGAAUAUACAGCGAAGAACUUGAAUUUGUGGGACGCUACAGUCUAAUUUAUUACCAGAAGAAGAUUGAGGGCAAUGCCUGUGCUCUUGUUGCCAUUGUGCUGCUGAUGCUGCAUAUCGUUUUUUCUUUAUUGGGGGAAGAAACAUCAGACACAGCUGGAUUUGGAUCCAUCCUUGUCUUGUUUUAGUCCUAGUUUUAGUUUGUGUUAUUGCUAAUGUUCUCUUGCUGAUGGACAAGUUGGGCUCUACUUCAUAAGCAAAAACCAUGAACGACCUCAGAACCCUAGUGGCUGCACAAUUGAGGAUGGUAUGCUUAAUGAUUUGCUUGCAAGCAUUUUUGGUUUUAUCUUUCUUUGUGUAAGUUGAAGUUGAGAAUUCUUUUUCCGUUGUAGAAUUAUGUUGGAUAGCAGCAGCAUCAACAAGGGAGAAUCGAUGAUGCUGUGAUGCUAAUCCCUCGACUUGAUACUCGGAUUGAUGUCAAUUUAAACUAAGGUGGUUGUUUUUGUUUAUUUUAACUUUGAACUAAAAAUUUAUUAUUUUGAUUUUCAAUUGUAACAUACAGAAUAGCUGCGGGAUACGCGAAUUUGACAUUUUCGAGGAGCAUGAAAUUUUCAAGCUCUUAAGGAUUCCAUAUUCCAUGCUUAGAAAGUUCCUCCUCCCAAGGUUUGCACAUUUAUUUCUCUUAUCUCACAUAGCAUCAAUGAAGUAGAAUUCUAGAGUUUUUGAGCGAGCUUAUGUUUGACCUCUCAUAACACAUGUAUUGAUUAAAUGAUGAUAUAAUCAAUGUACUUUAAUCAUAACUAGGGUGGUCAUACAAAUGGGUCAAAUUCAGGCAUCUCUGAAACUGGAAAGGGAAAAAAAGGGGAAUGCCAAGAACUUGAGGUCUUACAGAAGGCUGCACAAGUGUCUUUGGCAGAAAGCACUCUCGAUUCUCUAGAAGAAAGUGAGUAUUAAUACCAUAUGAGAGUGGGAUUUUGUUUGUAGAUCCUUUAUAAACUUGUUAUGUCUGCUGCAUUUAGUAAAUGUUUGAAAGUAUUUUGACAUACAAAUGUUUCUCUAAUUUCCAAAAGUAAUUAGAGAAAAUGAUUGAGAAGAAAUAUACCACUACAAAGUUCACCUAGCAUGGAUAUGUUGAACUGCUAGAGACCCUUUCUAAAGAGGAGCAUGGAUUGUGUGUUUUCUAUUGGAAUGUGUGCGUUAACACUACGUUGAAGGUCAAUCAAUAAUGAGUGAAAAAGCUAAUAUAAAAACACAAAACUUUCAUAUUUAUUCUUUUCUUUAUGUAGAAGUAUUAUUAUUUUAAUAUCAAAAAUUCUAGGCAACACUUGCAUAUCUCAUUUAAUAUGUUCCAUUUGCAAAAGAAUGACGAGCUCUAUGUUUUGGCUACAAAUGAGAAGCCUCUCUUAUGGUAAAAAAGCUAGAUGAGGUACAACUUUACUUUAUGCAAUAAUACUUAAACACUUUGUCACUUAAACUAUUUCAUUAACACUUGGUCACUUUUUUGUGAUUUUUCUGUGCAAUAAUACUUAAACACUUUGUCACUUAAACUAUUUCAUUACAUUUUGUAACUUUCUCUAUUUAGAGAAAGUUGUUCUUAAAGUUUGAGUAUUGGGCAACCUGAGAUCUCAGUAGCAGUUGUUUCUUUAGAUCAGUUAGAUUUGACAUAUUUUAAGGAUGCCAUGCUUUGUGGCAAAUUGAAGGAUGUAACCCACCCAAGUAAAAUGAAAAUGGAGAUAAUAGAUAAAGAAAGUCUGGAAGCUGUAAUUGAUUCGCUCGGGCAGGAGUUUCAUUCUGAUCUUAUUGUUAUGAAUUAUAGCUUCGUGAAAGAAGAAAAGGCUAGAGACAAGGUAAGAAACAACAUUUUGAUUUUAUGAUUGUUUUAGUUAUUAUUAUUUCACUAGCGGACUCUAAUGUUCUCUAACUGCUAUUAUGAUAUAUGACAAACAUGGAUGAAAAGCUUGAAGAAAGAAGGAUUCAUUGGGAUUUUGUUUGUAGAUCCUUUAUAAACUUGUUAGAAUGAAUCCUUCUUUCUUCACUUGAAGCUUGAAGAAAGAAUGAAUCCUUCUUUCUUCAAGCUUUUCAUCCAUGUUUGCCAUAUAUCAUAAUAGUAGUUAGAGAACAUUAGAGUCCGCAUAGUGAAAUAGUAAUAACUAAAACAAUCAUAAAAUCAAAAUGUUGUUUCUUACCUUGUCUCUAGCCUUUUCUUCUUUCACGAAGCUAUAAUUCAUAACAAUAAGAUCAGAAUGAAACUCCUGCCCGAGCGAGUCAAUUACAGCUUCCAGACUUUCUUUAUCCAUUAUCUCCAUUUUCAUUUUACUUGGGUGAGUUACAUCCUUCAAUUUGCCACAAAGCAUGGCAUCCUUAAAAUAUGUCAAAUCUAACUAGUCUAAAGAAACAACUGCUACUGAGAUCUCAGGUUGCCCAAUACUCAGACUUUAAGAACAACUUUCUCUAAAUAGAGAAAGUUACAAAAUGUAAUGAAAUAGUUUAAGUGACAAAGUGUUUAAAUAUUAUUGCACAGAAAAAUCACAAAAAAGUGACCAAGUGUUAAUGUAUUAAUUGACAAAGUGUUUAAGUAUUAUUGCAUAAAGUAAAGUUGUACCUCAUCUAGCUUUUUUACCAUAAGAGAGGCUUCUCAUUUGUAGCCAAAACAUAGAGCUCGUCAUUCUUUUGCAAAUGGAACAUAUUAAAUGAGAUAUGCAAGUGUUGCCUAGAAUUUUUGAUAUUAAAAUAAUAAUACUUCUACAUAAAGAAAAGAAUAAAUAUGAAAGUUUUGUGUUUUUAUAUUAGUUUUUUCACUCAUUAUUGAUUGAUCUUAAACGUAGUGUUAACGCACACAUUCCAAUAGAAAACACACAAUCCAUGCUCCUCUUUAGAAAGGGUCUCUAGCAGUUCAACAUAUCCAUGCUGGGUGAACUUUGUAGUGGUAUAUUUCUUCUCAAUCAUUUUCUCUAAUUACUUUUGGAAAUUAGAGAAACAUUUGUAUGUCAAAAUACUUUCAAACAUUUGUAUGUCAAAAUACUUUCAAACAUUUACUAAAUGUAGCAGACAUAACAAGUUUAUAAAGGAUCUACAAACAAAAUCCCACUCUCAUCUGGUAUUAGUACUAACUUUCUUCUAGAGAAUCGAGAGUGCUUUCUGCCAAAGACACUUGUGCAGCCUUCUGUAAGACCUCAAGUUCUUGGCAUUCCCCUUUUUUUCCCUUUUCAGUUUUAGAGAUGCCUGAAUUUGACCCAUUUGUAUGACCACCCUAGUUAUGAUUAAAGUACAUUGAUUAUGUCAUCAUUUAAUCAAUACAUGUGUUAUGAGAGGUCAAACAUAAGCUCGCUCAAAAACGCUAGAAUUCUACUUUAUUGAUGCUAUGUGAGAUAAGAGAAAUAAAUGUGCAAACAUUGGGAGGUGGAACUUUCUAAGCAUGGAAUAUGGAAUCCUUAAGGGCUUGAAAAUUUCAUGCUCCUCGAAAAUGUCAAAUUCGUGUAUCCCGCAGCUAUUCUGUAUGUUACAAUUGAAAAUCAAAAUAAUAAAUUUUUAGUUCAAACUUAAAAUAAACAAAAACAACCACCUUAGUUUAAAUUGACAUCAAUCCGAGUAUCAAGUCGAGGGAUUAGCAUCACAGCAUCAUCGAUUCUCCCUUGUUGAUGCUGCUGCUAUCCAACAUAAUUCUACAACGGAAAAAGAAUUCUCAACUUCAACUUACACAAAGAAAGAUAAAACCAAAAAUGCUUGCAAGCAAAUCAUUAAGCAUACCAUCCUCAAUUGUGCAGCCACGAGGGUUCUGAGGUCGUUCAUGGUGUUUGCUUUUGAAGUAGAGCCCAACUUAUCCAUCAGCGAGAGAACAUUAGCUGUAACAAAACCAAAUACAAACUAAAACUGUUUUGGAGAGUACUAACAAUUUAUCUAUAAUAUUAUUAGGCGUUUUGUUCUGUUAUGGAUAAAUACAAGUUAUAUUAUGUUUGGUGCUCAGUUGGAUACUGUUGAUUGGGCUCCAUUUGCUUUUGACACCAUUAUGACCUCCACAA